AACUGAUACUACCUGCGGGAACCUGCGGAGGGAUCAUUACCGAGUUAUCCAACUCCCAACCCCUGUGAAUCAUACCUUUAAUUGUUGCUUCGGCGGGACUUCGCGCCCGCCGGGGACCCAAACCUUCUGAAUUUUUUAAUAAGUAUCUUCUGAGUGGUUAAAAAAAUGAAUCAAAACUUUUAGCAAUGGAUCUCU
rnacentral:misc_RNA from 1 species